GACGAACGCUGGCGGCGUGCCUAACACAUGCAAGUCGAGCGAUGAAGUUCUUCGGAACGGAUUAGCGGCGGACGGGUGAGUAACACGUGGGCAACCUGCCUUGUAGUGGGGAAUAGCCUUCCGAAAGGAAGAUUAAUACCGCAUAACAUUGCACCUUCGCAUGAAGGAGUAAUUAAAGGAGCAAUCCGCUACAAGAUGGGCCCGCGGCGCAUUAGCUAGUUGGUGAGGUAACGGCUCACCAAGGCGACGAUGCGUAGCCGACCUGAGAGGGUGAUCGGCCACAUUGGGACUGAGACACGGCCCAGACUCCUACGGGUGGCAG
rnacentral:rRNA from 1 species